rnacentral:rRNA from 1 species
UACGAAGGGGGCUAGCGUUGCUCGGAAUGACUGGGCGUAAAGGGCGCGUAGGCGGUUCAUACAGUCAGAUGUGAAAUUCCUGGGCUCAACCUGGGGGCUGCAUUUGAUACGUGUGGACUAGAGUGGGGAAGAGGGUCGUGGAAUUCCCAGUGUAGAGGUGAAAUUCGUAGAUAUCAAGAGGAACACCUGAGGUGAAGACGGGUUGCUGGGCUGACACUGACGCUGAGGCGCGAAAGCUAGGGUAGCAAACGGG